UUUCUUUUGGAGCGGUCUUGAGCGUACCGAAAACAUGGCCCCAAGAGUAGAGUUCCCAAAUUCCCGCCGCCCCCCCACCCCACCGAUUUCUCCUCUGAUUAAUGCAGGGCGUUGGCACCGUACGUUUGUUGCAACUGAUGAACUAGUGUUGAUGCAUUGUUAACUCAAGUGCACAGGUCAAGCUUAGAGCCACUGUUGGUGUCGUGCCUUCCAGGCGUCUGGCAGCCGGAAUGUCACAUACUUGGGAUCAUACAGUAGUACCAUUGAGGACUUCUGAAUGGAGAGAUUUUCGGAGGGCGGCUGGGGCAGUGGGCCAUAGAAGGGACGGGAAAGGGAGAAGCUGGAGGCAGAGAGACUGAUUAGGAGCUUGCCGGACAGUGCAGAUGAGGAAACUGAGGCCCGGAGAGGCCCAGGAAGUUGCUCCCGCCCGCAAGUGAGUGAAGCCAGCAUUCAACCUGCUGAGCCUGGGCCCACCCUCCGCGUACCGCAGCCCGUCACCCCGCAUCUUGGCCACAUGAAGGAGCCCUCCCCUGACGUUCACCCGGGCCUUCUGCCGGGGCCACCCCCCUGCCCCCUGUCCCCGCGCGCCCCCCGAAUCGAGGCUGGCUCUGUCUUGCUGCAAGAAAUAAAGCAAUAAUGACCCCUGUGACGCUGGCUGGGGGGGGUGAGCGGCGGGAACGCGGCAGGUGGGGCCGGCAGAGGUGAGAACUGGGGGUCCCGGUCGAGAUCCCUAGGCAGGGGCCUCCAGGUGAGCUCCCCAAACGCCGCCCUUGGAUGGGCCUUGUUCCCCUCGAGCAGGAUAGCGUUUAUUCUUCCCUCGGGAACAGUCACCAGGGCCGGGGGAACGUUGCGCAACGAGACUGCCAGCCAGGUCCCCUCCGCUCCUCCGUUUCUGUGACUCUUGCCAGUUUACCCACUGCUAAUAACAGUAGGUCUGCUGUGCGGAGGGCCAACCUGUGCUGGCCUGCACCUCGCACAGUCAUCACCUGCAUUUCAGACCGGCGAAAACCGGGGGACUUGCCCGGAGUCACCUGGAGAGCCAGUGGAGCGAUCAGGAUUGGAACCCAGGGCCGUCCAAGGAAAGCGCCCUUCCCCCCCCUGCCACGCGGCCGUCCCUCGGCCACCCGAGAGCCUGUACACCCGAGGGGGCACCCUGCCAGUGUCGCUGGCCUGACACGCGCGGACAGGACUUGAGUGUCUCCCCCCCGGUCCAGAAAACCAGCCUGUCCGAGCUCCCCACCUAAGAGAGAAGGCGACUGGUGCUCUGAGGGUCCACCAUAGACAUUCGCACGCACCCAGCACUUUUCCCUAAGUGCUUUCCACGGUCGAUCUCAUUUGAGCCUCAGGUCAACCAUUAUCCACUUUGAAGAUGAGGCGUUCUAAAGGCCAAGCACCUGGCCCAACACCACAGGACAGCAAGGAGGACGAUGACCCAGGUCUGACUUCUCGUCCUGACCUCCUUCCACCCUACGCCCCCAGCCCCGGGUGGCUCCCCUGGGGAGUGGUGUCCCAACAGAAUGAGCUUCCGGAAUCCCAGCUGGAGCGCAGCCUUGGCCGGGCUGUGGCCACACUGCCACCCGACAAGCCCAGGGACCCAUCCCAACGCGACUCAGGCCCGUGCCGAGACGGCUGCAGUGACCAGUCGUGCAAAGGAUGUGCUCACCUCCUGGCCCAACAUGGCUGCCAAGCUCCAGCCACAUGUCUUAUUUCCAGCUUAGGGGCGCCUGGGUGGCUCUGUCGGUUAAGCG